CGGGGCGGGGCGUCGCGGAGCCGCGGGGCCGAGGGCGGGCGCAACAGCUGCUCCGCGAGCACUUUCUGACCCAACAGUCCCCGUGCGCCGGACGCGCCGCGGCCCUGCGGCCCUGGGGACCCCCGCGCCUGCACUGUCCCCGCGCGGACGAGUAGGGGGCGCCCGCGCCUCGGCCCCCCGUGAGCACCCCCGCCCCGCUCACCUUAGCCCCGCGCCCGAGGAACUAAACACCAUUCAGAUAAAGCUGUUAGAAAAUAUUGCCCCGGUCACCCUGAAGAAUUGAUUGAGAUAACAGCUUGAUCCCCCGCCUCCCAGGUAAGGGAGGAAGAUGGGAGGGUUAGGGUUAGCCUUUGCCAGUAAAGGUUUAAGCAGAAGCUGGUCUGAGUUCUCUUCCUAGUCCUCCAUUUUUGGCCUGUUUUAAUAAAAGCCCCUUCCAGUGGUCCUUUUCAGAGGAAAUCUGAAAAUAGAACUCAGUCAAGUCACUUACAAACUGAUGAAAUAAUUAAGGAAUAUAAUGGCCUGGCAAGGCCAGGGUCCCUCUGUCUCCUCAUUCCAGAUAAAUGCUAAUCACUUCUCUGUCUUUUAACAACAUUUAUGAUGAAAUGGCCUGUUUUUGCCACAGCAGGGUUGCCUGCCCAACCCUGGAGCACUCUUAAUUCUGAUACGCUUGAUUAGAGCCUCGGGGGUCCCAAAAGAUGUGCUGUUUUCCCACUUUGUAGAAUUAUAUUCUCUUCUCACAGUUGUUCCAAACAUGAUAUUGGUUGGUAAGAACUUUUGAGUAGUUUUAAUGACUCUUGACUGCUUAAAAUCUACUACUUAAAAAAAAAAAAAAGGCCUUUUGUUAGGACUGUAAAGGAUUGGACCUUUUUUUUUGUUUGUUUUACAUGAAGCUUUGUUUCCAUUUGGUUAAAAAAAAAAAUUCAGAUUGUUCCAGCUCACAGAUGCCACUAUGGGCUGUGUUUUAAAUUGUUCAUCUCUAAUUUCUUAUUUUAGCUUAAUUGUGUAGUAGUGUAUUUAAUCGAUGAAUUGGAAAGGUGGUGUCAAACAAGUGAACAAUGGGUGUAUAUUUUCAAGCUUAAGAAUUACACAGUAAGAAGGAAGCACAUGAGACAGUGUUCUCAACUGACGAGUAUUUGUUCCACUAGAAUAAAAUAAACGUAAGGAGAUUUUAAGUUAAACGACUUGGUGUGGAAUACACUGAGUAGUUUUCAAAUUACUGAGAUGUGUUACAAAAUGAAAAAAAACCAGCCUGGAGGAUAUUUACAGAACAGCCACUGAAGUGGAUUGAAGGAACCCCAAUCAUAUUAACUGUUCUAAAUAGUGAAGGGUUUGGUUGCAUCGUGUAGAUGAAAGUGGUGAGUGCGGAAGGGUCCUGCUUCACUGCCUCCUCUCCAGAUCUUUGGGGGAGGGGUGCUGACUGGUUUCAAUGCACGUGGAAGAAAGGAUGAGUUACACAAAGACAGCAGGAAAUUUCUUAAAUUUGGGGGAGGGAAGCUCGAUCCUGAUAGCUGAAUAGCCUGAUUUUGAGGGGGCAGUGUUAACCCUUCCGACAUGUUGGUGAAAUGGUGACUUUGGGGAGGAAGGUGAUGUGGAUUCUUUACUCCAGCUUUUUGCUAUAGUUAGGCAGAUUUGCAGCGGUAUGCAGGGCGGAGGAUUUGGAAUGGAGGCUGUGAGGGCAGAUAGAAAUCUGACUUUGAG
ensembl:lncRNA